AAGUUGUGAGGGAGAAGGAAUGACAAUUUUUGAACUGCAAACAAAACCUGAGGAUCCCGAUCCAAGAACAAUCAGAGGACCCUGGCUUCCAGCCCUGUCUGAAGAUUUCUCAGCAAAGGCGAGGGUGCAGAAGGCUCCAAUAAUUUAGGGGAGAGGAAUCGAAGUUCCCUAGUGUGUUAUAUUUCACAAUAAGAAAAGGCUAAAAGAAAACAGACUGGCACGGUGGCUCACACCUGUAAUCCCAGCACUUUGGGAGGCCGAGGCAGAUGGAUCAUGAGGUCAGGAGUUGAAGACCAGCCUGGCCAAGGCUCUCCCACGGAGCACCCUCUGCUGACUCUGCAGCCCCGCAGGCCUUCCUCGAACAGUCCAUGACAGGAAGCCAGGCUUCCUGGGGUCCUGAGUCAGCAGAGCAGGAAGGAAACAAAGGCCUCAGAACCGCAGAAGAGAAAGAAGGCAGCCUGAAGACAGAAGGCGACCCUCUGAAGACAGGUCUAGAGACUUAACGUAUGAUGUUCCUGGAGUCCUGUUGCCUGUACCUCUUCAGUAGAAAAAUUCAAUAAGGUUUCUGACACUUUCUACCUAUGGGCCAGUUACAUACAGAAGAGAAAACUGAAACUGAAAACUGGUUUGUCAUUUUUACAGAAAGUCACUGCAAAGAAGGAGAAUUCCAAGUGCAAAUGACUUGAGGUGUUGAAUUGAGAACCAGGCAGAUCCACCACCUACAGUAAAGAUGACCCUAAAGUGAAUUGGUUGAAGAAAUUAGAUCCCAAAGAUUCUUGGUGAAUUUUCAAGUCUUCAUCAGUAUAUCCAUAUUAAAAGGAGAUGACAGAAGCCAAAAUAAAAGAAUUAUGGGCUGACGGGACAACUGGAUUAAAAUAAGCAUCAGUUUCGUUAAAAAGGGCUAACUUGAAGAUAAAUCUUUUGACUCCAGCUCUUUAGAGGAUCUAAAGUGACCCUGAUGGACAGUGGAAAAAAUCACAACAUGGAAUCCCUUGGAUAAAAAUCUAUUGACUUUGAAUAAUUUUGCCUAAUGUUACAUAAUACACAAUUAAAAAAAAAAAAAACCUUGGCCAGGCAUGGUGGCUCACACCUGUAAUCCCAGCACUUUGGGAGGCCGAGGUGGGCAGAUCACAAAGUCAAGAGAUCGAGACCAUCCUGGCCAAUAUGGUGAAACCCUGUCUGUACUAAAAAUAACUUACCUGGGCAUGGUGGCACUCGCCUGUAGUCCCAGCUACUCGGGAGGCUGAGGCAGGAGAGUGGCGUGAACCCAGGAGGCGGAGGUUGCAGUGAGCCGAGAUUGCACCACUGCACUCCAGCCUGGGCGAAAAGAGUGAGACUCCGUCUAAAAAAAAAAGAUUAUAGAUAGGCCAAAGCCAAAACCAGGGGUGCAAAAGGGAAAUAAAUCAGGAGCCAAGUACCAAGUGUCAGGAUCAGGAUCCAGAAAGGCAGGAUACAGCAGAGACACUAAAACCAGGACCAUGGUAAAAGUGAGACACUGGAGAAAGAAACCAAAGAGAACACUGUAACCGGGAGCCUAGCUAAUCUUGCAGUUGGAUUGAGAGGCAAACUGGGUGAUUUUUCCACUGGCUGACCUUUUAGAAGUUCCAGACAUGUUCUCCCAAAGGCACUAAGUUCUGGGUCCCAGAGAAGUGGGCUCAUGGCACGGCUGAUCUCAGAGUUGGUGCUUGUGCAGCUCCUGACACAAGGUGCCCCUCUAAAUGAAGAGCCAAGGAGCACACGUUUAUCGAAGGUCUACUUUGCGCCCCUUGUGGCAACACUCAUACUUGGAGGCAGAGGCUACCAUCAGAAUAUAAAUUUUAUCCUCAGGAAGAUGAGAAGACAACUGGCUUAGAAACUAGCUUAGAACAUUUCCAAGUUUGACACAGGGCCAGGGGCUGUCAAGCCUCAACCACAAUGCAAUCAACCACCAGCUCUAUUCCACAGGCGCAUGUCCAGGUCGGCUAAUAAAUGGAAAAGCCAGGAUUAAGAUUCAAGUUUCGUCCGGUCACGGUGGCUCACUCCUGUAAUCCCAGCACCUUGGGAGGCCAAGGCGGGCAGAUCAUGAGGUCAAGAAAUCGAGAUCAUCCUGGCCAACAUGGUGAAACCCCGUCUCUACUAAAAAUAUAAAAAUUAGCUGGGCACAGUGGUGCACGCCUGUAAUCCCAGCUACUUGGGAGGCAGAAGCAGGAGAAUCGCUUGAACCUGGGAGGUGGAGGUUGCAGUGAGCCGAGAUCUCGCCACUGCACUUCAGUCUGGGUGACAGAAUGAGACUCCGUCUCAAAAAAAAAAAAAAAAAAGAUUCAAGUUUCUUAGCCUGGGCAACAACGACGACAAAAAAUUCGGAGCUUAUGGUGGUGCAGGCCUGUAGUCCUAGCUACUCAGCAGGCUGUGGCAGGGGGUGUCACUUGGAGGCUGCAGUGAGCUAUGAUUGCACCACUGCACUCCAGCCUGGGCCACAGAGCAAGAUUCCGUUUCAGAAAAAAAAUAAAUAAAUUUGGGCCGGUCUCGGUG
ensembl:lncRNA novel transcript, antisense to HELZ